rnacentral:rRNA from 1 species
UACGAAGGGGGCUAGCGUUGCUCGGAAUCACUGGGCGUAAAGGGUGCGUAGGCGGGUCUUUAAGUCAGGGGUGAAAUCCUGGAGCUCAACUCCAGAACUGCCUUUGAUACUGAAGAUCUUGAGUUCGGGAGAGGUGAGUGGAACUGCGAGUGUAGAGGUGAAAUUCGUAGAUAUUCGCAAGAACACCAGUGGCGAAGGCGGCUCACUGGCCCGAGUACUGACGCUGAGGCACGAAAGCGUGGGGAGCAAACAGGGAUU